CCGACGUGUGUGCUCGUGACUCGUCUCGCCUCUCGCGGGAAUGUGGGAAAUUGGUAAAGCUGUGGAGGUGGUUCGUGGGCGGUACCUUCUUGGCCCAGGCCUGCGUGCCGCUGGCGAGCUCGCGCGGCGUGAGGAUGUGCGCGCCCGUGGAGCCCGUGAACUGGCCCGGCCGGCUCUCCUUCGUCCAGCCGAACUGCGGGAUCGACAUGUCCUUACGGAUCGACCAUAUUUCGUGCCAUAUUAAUUAUCUUUCGUUGUAAAAUAUGUUUAUUUUUCGAGCUUAUUAAGUCUAUUGGAUAAUACAUAUGAAGCUUUUUAAAAUAAAUUAUUUUUUAUGUAAAACAAAAAUGGAAAAGAA